GGUCUUGUGCUCAAUGGGAGCCUCUGUCUUGCAAUACAGAUGAUCCAGGUUCAAAUCCUGGGGAGGCCA